UUCAAGCAACCAAUUGUCAAAAAUUUGACACAAGUGAUGUGACAAUGCGUUCAAAAUACAAAAUUAUUCUGUCAGUUGAUUUUCACAAAACUCAGACUUAAUGAAUUUUCGAGCGAAAAAAACGCCCAGUCCCGAAACAAUCGAAAUAACUUUUCUCAAACACGACGAUAGUUUCUCAUGGCCAAGCCCACAAAGUGAUGAACUAGACGUUAUCACCCCCAACUGUUCCACAUGUUCCCUUGACAUGAACUUCGACAAAAACAGCGUUAUCAGCGAGUUAUCCUCAGUGUCAAGCCUGGACGGACCCAUCGAAGACAUUUACUGCAAACGUCGCCCAUCCAGACUCCGGAUUAGUAAUCGCACGCGCAUCGAACCCUCAAUCCUCAACCACGUCCUCGACUUCCUCUCCACCUGCUUUUGGAAAUGUUCAACGGGUUGUCAACAAUUACCAGACAAGCAUUUUUGAUUAAUAUUUUUUUUAUUGUUCUUACAAAAAUAAAUAAAAAGUUAUAAACCAAA